rnacentral:rRNA from 1 species
CCCUAUUAUGCUAUACAUGAAUAAUAUCCGAGCUUGAGGAGUAUUAGUUAGGUUCUUGAAAUUUAGAGGAUUUGGCGGCAAUCCACCCUAGUCAGAGGAACCUGUGCCUUAAUACGAUAUGCCACGAAUUAUCUUACUUUAUCUUGUUUAUCAGCCUGUAUACCUCCAUUUAGUUAUUAUUUACAGAUAGAUAAUUCAAUAAAAGGUAGAUUCUUUUAGUAAAUUAGGUCAAGGUGCAGCCUAUGAUAAAGUGGUCAUGUGUUACAUUGUUAUUUAUACUUGUAUGCUUUCAAAGGCAGCUUUUAUGGAUGGAUUUUUGAAAUGAUUUCUUGAAAUAGUAUUUGAUUGUAAGUUUAUUUUAAUAAGGUAAAUUGAUAAAGUUUUGGAAUGUGUACAAAUCGCCC